rnacentral:rRNA from 1 species
UACGUAGGGGCCUAGCGUUGUUCGGAAUCACUGGGCGUAAAGGGCGCGUAGGCGGCCUUGCAAGUCGGUUGGUGAAAGCCCGGGGCUCAACCCCGGAGGUGCGGCCGAGACUGCAGGGCUGGAGGCCGGAAGAGGAGGGUGGAAUACCCAGUGUAGAGGUGAAAUUCGUAGAUAUUGGGUGGAACACCGGUGGCGAAAGCGGCUCUCUGGUCCGGACCUGACGCUGAGGCGCGAAAGCGUGGGGAGCAAACAGG